GGUGAACCUGCGGAGGGAUCAUUACAGAGUUGCAAAACUCCCAACCCUUUGUGAACAAACCUGACAGUUGCUUCGGCGGUAGACCCUUCUGGGGCUAGCCUUCGCGGGUAGUCCGCCGAAGUCCUAUAAACUCUUGAUUAUUUUGGUAUCUCUGAGUAGCUUAUAAAUAAGUUAAAACUUUCAACAACGGAUCUCUUGGUUCUGGCAUCGAUGAAGAACGCAGCGAAAUGCGAUAAGUAAUGUGAAUUGCAGAAUUCAGUGAAUCAUCGAAUCUUUGAACGCACAUUGCGCCCUUUGGUAUUCCGAGGGGCAUGCCUGUUCGAGCGUCAUUUCAACCCUCAAGCUUCGGCUUGGUAUUGGGCUUCUCGUCCCUUAACCUGGACGUGCCCGAAACUCAUUGGCGGUGGCCCUCAGCUCCCUAGCGUAGUUAUACAUUCCGUUACGAGACUUGAGAGUGACCUGCCCAAUAACCCCAUUUUAUUUACUGAAGUUUGACCUCGGAUCAGGUAGGGAUACCCGCUGAACUUAAGCAUAUCAAUAAGCGGAGGAA
rnacentral:rRNA from 2 species